GACGAACCGUGCGAACGUUGUUCGGAUUCACUGGGCUUAAAGGGCGCGUAGGCGGGCUCGCCAGUCAGGGGUGAAAUCCUCCGGCUCAACCGGAGAAUAGCCUUUGAUACUGGGAGACUUGAGUCCGGGAGAGGUGAGUGGAACUGCGAGUGUAGAGGUGAAAUUCGUAGAUAUUCGCAAGAACACCAGUGGCGAAGGCGGCUCACUGGCCCGAUACUGACGCUGAGGCACGAAAGCGUGGGGAGCAAACAGG
rnacentral:rRNA from 1 species